rnacentral:piRNA from 1 species
UUUGCAGUGACAGAAGCCAUCGU